AAAACUUGGCUAACGAAUUCUGUGAUCUCGAACUAGACUGCAUGUCUCCCAGCGGUUCCUGUUUUCUGAUUAUUCGUUUCACCGUCAUUUCCAGCGAUUACUUCACCAGUUCUGCUGACAGUCCACAGAGCAGAAUGCAGGAAUUUGCUCGACUUUUCAAGUAGUUUACAACGCGUUCGUUCAUUCGUGGGAUAUUUAAACCUACUUUUUCCCUUUUAUGACCAGAUACUAUUGUUACUCAAACUGAGUCGACAUUUACACGUCUGGCGGUGAAUCAGCCGUUUCUUCAUGCCUUAGUGAAUAGUUUUUUAAACGGACAUUCCAGAGGAAUAAACAAAAUUGGAUUAAGAUGGCGAACAAAAAUAUCGUUUUUGGUUUGAGUUUGAUUUGGAGUUUUAUCGCAUGCGUUUCUUGCAAAUGUUUGCAGCAUGAGGAACAGCUGGUGUACCAGUGGGUGGCUGUGGAAUUCAAAUGGCCGAAUGAUACCAUGAAGCAGGAAUACAUCAACUCUAGUAAAUACAUAUUACAAAAUAACGCCAUCAACGGAAUAAAACUGUAUAAAGAUGAUGUUUACUUGACAAUUCCCAGGCUGAAGGAUGGGGUCGCCGCAUCGCUAGUAAUUAUUGAUAAAAACGACAACAGCGAAUCUCCGAUGGUUCAUGCAUAUCCCAGCUGGGAAAUGCAUAUUUUAGGAGACUGUAAUACACUGCAAUUAGUACAAAGCAUGGAAAUAGAUCCGGAGAGUGGGUUGAUGUGGAUUUUAGACACAGCCUACGUCCCAAGUUCAUCAAUUGAAGUGGCUAAAAGAUGCCUCCCUAAGAUCGUGGUAUGGGACAUUAACCAGAAUAAAGAAGUUUAUCGGUAUGUUUUUUCUAAAGAAGUCAUAGAGGACCCGUUUUAUCUUAACGACCUCGUCUUGGAUUACGGCGGUCAGAAAGAGGUUGAAUUCGUGUACAUAAGUGACACCCUUGGAAGAAAAAUGGUUGUUUAUAACCACAUAAACAAAACAGCUUACACAUUCGUUCAUUCCAGUUUUGAAAGAAAAAUGCAGUAUGGAAACAUUACCAUUAAUGGUGAAAGCGAGAUGGUUCCAUUGAGUGUUAACGGCAUAGCGAUGUCAGAUGAUUUCCGAUACGUGUACUAUUGUCCGAUGGCCUCAUUGAGUUUGUACCGAGUCCCCACCUCUGCCCUUAGAAAUAAAGACGCCAAUAUGGACGCGGUGGUCGAAAGCCUCGGUAGCAAAGGGAUUCAGUCAGACGGUCUCUAUCACGGAAGAGGAAGCUCACUAUAUUAUUCCACCUUAGGACAGAAUGGAGUUUACCGUUGGGAUACGUUAAAAAAUACAAAAGAAGUCUUGGUUAAAAACACCACAAUUGAAUGGGUAGACUCUCUAGGAAUGGACGGAAAAGGGGAGGUCCUGUUUUUGGUUGUAAAGAAACGGGAUCAAAAUCAGCAUCUAUCGCUGAAAAGUGGGUUACAGUUGACUUUGAAUGGCCAACAUGCAAACAGCGAGAAAAUGCACUAGCUUCGAACAAUUAUAUUCCUGCAAAUAAUGAAAUAAAUGGAAUAAGUGUUUACAAGGAUAAAAUUUAUCUAACAAUUCCCAGAACCAAAAAUGGAGUCGUUAGUACGGUUGGGAUCUUAACCGAACACUCGAUUCAACCUUACCCGUCACCUGAGAUGAACACCAUUGGUGACUGUAAUGCUUUGCAAUCUGUACAAAGCAUGGAAAUUGAUGUUAACACGGGCUUCCUUUGGAUGUUGGACUCGCCAUCUGGAAAUUCAUGCAAACCUAAACUAGUUGUACAUGAUUUAAACAAAAAUACUGAAGUCUUCAGGUACGUGUUUACUGAGAGUCUGCUGGGUCAGAAAUAUUUUCUUGAAGAUAUUGUUUUAGAUUACAUUCAUCAAACCGCUUCGUUUGCGUACAUAUCCGACUCUUUGGGUGGAAAGCUUAUCAUUUUUGACGUCGGUAAUAAAUCCGCUUGGAGCAUAACGCAUCUAUCAAUGACCCAUAAUACCCAAUACGAAAAUAUAAUGGUAUCAGGAAUACAAACAAGUACUCAUCAGAAGGGAAUCAGAGGAAUUGCUUUAUCUCCAAAUUUCAAAUAUUUGUAUUAUUCGCCGCUAGCUGGCGUUAAACUGUACCAGAUCGAGACCUCCGUUAUAAGAAACAAGGACAGUACCGCCACAGACAUUAAUACAUCCGUCAGAGAAAUAGGAAAUAAAGAUUUCCCGACAUCAGGGAUGUACAGUACCAAAACCGGUCUCUACCUGACUGAUCUGAGCACCGGCUCUAUUGUGAAAUAUAGUUACUCGGCGACAGGGUAUCUAGUGAACGGCAGCAAAACGGAAGUGACGAAGAACUGCUUGAUCCAGUGGCUAGACAGUCCAACUGUUGAUGCAAAUGGAAACCUUUGGUUUACCUCACGCAAUGUCGAGCCUUUCUUUGGCAAUUCUACGAUGACUGAACAUUUCAAUUUCUUUAUAUGGAAGCUUAACAUCGGUCAAAGCAAGGAUACCUCUGCCGGCACAAUUUUAUCCGGCAGUACAUCUGUUUAUUUGUUACAGUUUUGUUUGAUCAUGAUGCUGUAUUUCCAUACUGUUUAAACCAGCAAUAACUGCUUAACGAUGAGGAACGAUUUGAAGGAAUGUUUUUAAACUGUACCUCUACGUGAGAUUUUAAUGUUAACACAGCAUUCUUUUUGUAUGUCAAAUGAAUGAUGUGAUUUAAAAGAAUUUAACAAGCUGAAUUACAGUCAACAACACGCAGUGGGCUAGUGUACAGAAGAAUGUUCUUUAUAUCAAAUGUACAGAAGAGGUAUAAAGUCUCACGAUUUAUAAGUAAAGUAUAUCGAUGACAGCUGACUCCUCCACGGUUUAUAAACUUAAAAAGACAAGUUAUUCAAAACCAAAACCACCUGAGUGAAUUUUGGCCAUUGUUCUUCAAUUCGUUGUUCGCAGAUAUAAAAUCUAAACUAUUAUGAGGACACAAAAAAUAUUUCAAGACACGUUGAGUGCCUCUUGAUAUUUGACGUCCAUGUAACGUGUUAUAAAUUUAGUUUCAUUGCGAACAAUUUAAAAUAUAUUAACCUUGAACUUGAACUCAGCCUGAUGUAAAUAACCAUUGAUAGCCUUUUACUGGGUCGCAGAUAAGCAGCUUUACAAAUAAUGUUCAGGACACCGCAACAAGUGAACCAUACAUUUCAUUCAGACAUAGACACGAUAAAAGAGUGACAAAGACUGGGCUUUGUUAAAUUGUAUGCCUUAUUCCCUUAUCAUAUAUCGAAUACAUAAAUUAUAUGUCUGUAAAUAUAUGAUCAUUAAUACGCCAUUAGUCUAAUGUUUGUAGAUAUCUAAAUCAUAAAAUAACGCAUAAAUCAUUGCUGCAUUUUGUUGUAUUAAAUAAUAUUAACGUCGUUGUAUGUUUUUUGAAUGUGUAAUAAAUAAACAGCUUACUAAACCAUAUAACUGGU
rnacentral:sRNA from 1 species